UACGUAGGUGGCAAGCGUUGUCCGGAUUUACUGGGCGUAAAGCGUAUGUAGGCGGAUGCUUAAGUAGGAAGUGAAAGGUUCGAGCUCAACUCGGACACUGCUCCCUAUACUGGGCGUCUUGAGGGUCGGAGAGGAAAGCGGAACGACACGUGUAGCGGUGAAAUGCGUUGAUAUGUGUCGGAACACCAAUGGCGAAGGCAGCUUUCUGGACGAUUUCUGACGCUGAGAUACGAAAGCCGAGGUAGCGAACAGG
rnacentral:rRNA from 1 species